UCGUUUGACUUAAGGCUCCGAAGUUAUAGCUGAUGAGAAAUGCCACGCCUAUGGGAUGUGCCACGCCCUCUUUUACAAACUCAUUUAUAUAUACCCUCUUAUAAGCACCUACCA